rnacentral:rRNA from 1 species
UGGGGAAUAUUGCACAAUGGAGGGAACUCUGAUGCAGCGACGCCGCGUGAGUGAUGAAGGACUUCGUUUCGUAAAACUCUGUUCUAUGGGAAGAAAAGGACUGUACCAUAGGAGAAAGCUCCGGCUAAAUACGUGCCAGCAGCCGCGGUAAUACGUAUGGAGCGAGCGUUGUCCGGAAUUAUUGGGCGUAAAGGGUGCGCAGGCGGCUUUACAAGUUGGAUGUGAAAUAUUGUGGCUCAACCACAAACGUGCAUCCAAAACUGCAAAGCUUGAGUUAAGGAGAGGUAAGUGGAAUUCCUGGUGUAGCGGUGGAAUGCGUAGAUAUCAGGAGGAAUACCGGUGGCGAAGGCGACUUACUGGACUUAAACUGACGCUCAGACACGAAAGCGUGGGGAGCAAACAGG